CUCACAGGUCGCUCAAGAAGCUUUUCAGGUGAAUUGGCAGCCACGGCAGCGAGCUUUGAGAGAAAAGGAUCUUUAGGGUUUAUUGGGGGCAUAGGAAUCUUAGCCGAAUUUCUUGCAUCAAUUGAAGAGCAAUUAAUUCUGAGAUUUCUUCUUUUGAGUGAUUGAGAAUUAAAAGUUGAAGAUGGUAUUGAAUAGUUUAUUGGUAGAGCUCGAAAACAAGUAGCCAUGGUUUCUGUUUCCGGUGACUUGUGUUGUGCCCGAAGGCUUCUAUUUGAACUUUGAAGAAUGGAAGUAUGGAAUUCAC
rnacentral:misc_RNA from 1 species